UUCUCUCCUUUGAUCCGCUGGCCAGCGUAGCUAAAAAAAAUGCCAGACCAGAAAGACUGCGGUCCCUGUUGAGCUUUGUGAACUUCACACAAAUCUAGGAAGAGGGAAUCUUAAUUGAGGAAAUACCUCCAUAGAUAGACUAUUGUUUCUGCUUCAGUUCCUGCUUGAAUUCCUGCCUUGACUUCCUUCCGUGAUGGACUGUGGUCAGGAAGUGUGAGCUGAAAUGAAACCCUUUCUUCUCCAAGUUGAUUUUGGUCAUGGUAUUUAUCACCGCAACAGAAGAAAAGCUAGAAUAGCAAGCAUGAGCUCUAUCAUUUCCUUUGCAUGGAGAAAGAAACCCACUGGGAUGAUGAGUGACUUGUCCAACACUACACGAGUCAGACUGGAACACUGAGUCCAGCUCUUAUGCCCAUAAUUGCGCCAUGUGUCUCGACAUGUGAAGAGGCCACAAAUGCAUUUUUAUCUAAAUUUACAAUAUGGCCAGCUUUGGGGCUGCUUCAGAGAGUCCUCACGAGGUUUGCAAGGAAUGUAACUAAGGAAUUUGAUACAGGAAGAGGACCUGUGAAUCUUAACUGAAAGCUCUUACAGGGAGAGCAGAAGGAACAUGCUCACCUCACCUGAAAGACUCCAGAGAGACAAGAUGGUGUGUCAACUAAGGGGUCACCUUCCAGGGUCAGAGACACAGAGUUGUGAGCUGAACCUGGCUGAAUCUCAGCAAGCUGAGAUUUAAAUUGUGAUAGUACUAUAGGUGGUUGUAUGGAUUUGAUGGAGACGCACAUAACAUGCUCAGCAAUUGCCUGUCACCUGUUAGGUGCUCAAGAAACGCCACCAGCUCUUCUGAGCACAGUUCUCACACUUCCACAUGGAGUCCCUCACAAAAGUAAGAGACUCGAACAUGUGUUCCAGGCGCAUUGAAUCUAGACGUUUCACUGUCCCUUGGGAUGCCAUCUUCUGUAAGUGACAAUGAAAAGAGAGCCUUUUCAAGUAGCCUGGUGCCAGUUAAAUAAACUUCAGUUGCCUCAUCCCAGUCAGCACAAGAUAAUCUCUAAGCUUUCCAACUGACACAUUUUUAAUGAAAGGAAAUGACACACUGGUCUUCAAUGGUGUUUGAGGAAAAUCUGGGAAAGAUUCUGUUACCAAACCACUUCCUUUCUGCAUCCCCCAAAAGAACAAAAGGUAUUGGGAAAGUAUCACCAUGACAACCUCCUAACAGCUGGAUGACGGCAGAGGAAAGGUAAAGAGCAUGCUUGUUUCAUCACGGACUGCAAUGGACCCAUGGUCAAACUGCGUGAACAGCAGUUUUUAUCAUAUAUGUGUCUGCUUAGAAUUUGAUUACCCAGUGGUGCUGCGUUCAGCGGACAUUAAUUAUAAUUGCUCCAGGUAGUUAAUAACAAACAGCAAACAAGCCUUCUCAAGAAUUUUUAGCUCAAGCAGAGAGGGUUCACAAAUCUAGGGGAUCACCUGGCAAGUAUCCAACAGCAAGGCCACACUUAUGCCUUACCUUCUUCCACUCUGUGUUCAGGACCCUUGGCUAAGCACAAGGCUCAAGAGAUUAAUCUCCCUGUUUUAUGGGAGCAUCUGUGAGAACAGAAUUUAUGGUAAUGAGCUCUGGGUCACAGAAGUCAGUGUGCAUGGCUCCUCCUGAGCACUGGAGUAAUGGUGGAGUAAUGGUGAUGCAAAUGUGAGGUAAUGCAUGAUGAGUGCAUGGGUUGAAGUGGCUUAAACGGAUUGAUUUAUAUUACCUAAAGCGUAUUUUCUGCCAGCACAAUUGUUAACAUUUAACACUGACACUAGAUGCCUGUGGUAAUCUUGGUCAGUGAGUGAGACUUCUGUGUCACUGUUAGCCAAUAACCAAGGUAGUAUCCCGCAUAUCCCAUACUAUCCCAUCUCCUACUCCAGUGCCUCCCCCACCAAAGGCUACUGUUCAUCCAGUCUUCUUAGUUAAUGACAUAGGAGUCUGGUGAAAUUUUCCUUUAAAAAUUCCUUCCUUUGAGAAGUUUGUUUGCCAGCCAGCCCUCUUUCAUCCUACUUUCAAUUUCCCCAUUCCUUAGGGUAUUAUUGAAAGAACACACUGAUGCUCACUUCCUUUACUUUCCCCACCUUACAUCACAAGUGGUUCGGCUGAAUUGGGUCGAGGCUUAUCAAUAGAGUUAUUCAGCUGACCCAAGGCCUCUUGAGCAAUAAAACCUAAGUGGUUGUAUUAGUUCAUUUGUUUAUUAGUAAGACUAUGGCUCUGGUUUAGUUACUAAAUUUUGUUGUCAGUUUGAUGCCUGGUCCAUAAGAAGCACCCAAUAAAUGUUUGCCUGACUAGAUUUAACUGGCAGAUAAAUUAAUGUCUACCACCAGAGGCUUGAUUAAAUAUAUUUAGUAUAGUUAGACAAUGGAACACUGAGCAGUCACUAAAAAAUAUGAACAGCCAUGUGUGGAGCAUACACACCUGUGAUAGAGGAAUUACUUGAGCCCAGGAAUUUGAGGCCAGCCCAUGCAGCACAGUGAGACUCUGGUAUGGUUUGAAUCUACAUGUCCCUCUUGGGCUCAAGUGUUUGAACCCUUAGUGCCCAAAUGGUGGCGUUGUUUGGGGGAGGCUGUGGAACUUUUAAGACACGAGGCCUCCUUUGCAGAAAUAGGUCUCUAGGGCCAGGUUAUACUUGUUUUUGGGUUCUGGGCUCCUUCCUCUGCUUCCCGUUCACUGAGCUCUGGGGAGCUUUCCCAGCAUUUUCUUCUCACCACAGUCACUGUGCCGUGCCUUCUCAGCCCAAAGACGCUGCUCCUCACUUAGGCUGCCAGGUAUUUUGUUCAUAGUGACCAAAAGUUACUAAAGACAGACCUUCUAUAAAAGUAAUUAAUCAAUCAAUCAAUUAAAAAACAAACAAACAGGCCGGGCAGUGGUGGCGCAUGCCUUUAAUCCCAGCACUCGGGAGGCAGAGCCAGGCGGAUCUCUGUGAGUUCGGGGCCAGCCUGGACUCCCAAGUGAGUUCCAGGAAAGGUGCAAAGCUACACAGAGAAACUCUGUCUCGAAAAACCAAAAAACAAACAAACAAACAAACAAACAAAACCACAAAGGGCUGGAGAUAUGGCUCUUGCUGUUCUUCCAGAGGACCCACGUUCAGAUCAUAACAACACACAUCAUUCACAUACACACACACACACACACACACACACACACACACACACACACGUAAAAACAAUCUUAAAAUAAAACUACAAAAUACUCAAAACCAAAAAAAAAAAAGAAAGAAUAAAAAUCUAGUGAGCUAGUUUGUGGUUGAGGCUCUGUGCAUUUUUCUGUAUAUACAUCAUACAUCAACAAAGUAUGUUACUAAGCAGCAUGUAUUGUAUGAUUCUAGUUUUGCUACUUAAAAAUGCUACACUGUUACUAUAUAGAUAAGGACAAGUACAUACAUGAUAUUGAUAAAAAGGUUUUUUUGGGGGGGUGAUAGAAAUUUAGGUAAUUUUAUUUUAUCUUUUUCUAGUAUUUCUUUAUUCAAUUAGGGUUAGUGAGAUGGUUCAGUUGGUAAUGGCACUUGCCACCAAGUCUGAUGGCCUGCCGAUGUGGAACCCAUAUGGUGAAAGGAGAGAACCAACUCCCGCAGCUUGUCCUUUGACCUCCACAUGUGUCUCACAGCACUAAACGGGUGUAUGCACAUUUUUUUGUGUGUGUAUGUGUGUGUACGCACACACAGUAAAUAAAUAAAAAUGCAAUUAGAAAUCUUGAAA